AUGAUGAUGGAGAAUUGUUUGGUGAUUCUGAUGAAGGGGAUGGAGCUGCGGCAGGGCCUGAUGGUGGUGAAUCUUGGGAUGAUAGAAUUAUGGCGAGAAGCUGAUAUAUGCAUCCAAACAAUCACAAAACAUCUCCCCCAUGGAAAUGAAAGCUAACAACCAAAAAAGAAAACUGUAGAAAAUUGUAGAAAACAGAUGCAUUACCAUAUAUGGUUCGAAUUCCGAGGAGGCGAAAUGGCAAUCGCCGGCAGUGGUGAGAACCAUUUCGACGGUCUUCGUUCUGGCCUCUGAACUGGAAAUUGCCAAUGCGCUGAGGAGGAUCACAAAUACAACCACAUAACCAGGUCUUCUCAAUUCCAUUUCUGUGUGAACCCUCAUUCCAUCCGUAAUUUUCUCUUUUCAUUUCAUCGAACUCAAAGGAAUUUCUUUAUCUCAAACCCAUUCGUUCCAAUUGAAAGGUGCGAAUCAAUCGUCCACUACGAUGGAAUUACUUCAAUCUCAUGCACACAACUGUUGUGAAAUCGACGAAAUUACGAGGUUUGAGAGGUUGAAUCCCUUGGCCGGCGGAUGAUAUUUUUGUUCCUCCUCAGCAGAAUUUCCCCUGGGUUUUGCCUUCGAAAUCAAAAAAGUGGAAUUCUUUUCCCCCCGUUGUAUUUCCAAGAUAUCUUUUCUUGAUAUCCGAAAGGGAGGGAAAAAAAUGUUGCGUUAAACACAGACGUCCCGGGAACUAUGAGGAAAACCCUUUUUCCUUUUUCCUUCUUUUUUUUUUUUUUUUUAAAUUUUUUUAUUUUAUUUAACUUUUUU